rnacentral:lncRNA from 1 species
GGGUGUGCUGUCUGCCAUCUUUGGCAAUUCAAGAUGGCUGCAGGGCUAGGCCCUGCUCCUUUCUCCACAGGUUGCAGGCUGAAGUGACGGCAGGCUGACUGACUCAUGAAGCAUUCCUUGUCAGAUGGUUGGCCUCAGGCUGAGGUGGCUGUAUGCAUGCUCUGGAGAGCAGGAGCACUCUGUGUGAGUAGCUGUUCCUGAACAGUCUCCUGUUUGGAGCCUGGGAUGACAGUGAAUUCACUUCCCACCCGUCUGCACCUCCACUUUGCACUGCAGGGAGGACGACGCCACGGGGUUCUUACCAUGUGACGAACAGGUAGG